UUAUAAACGAAAUUCGCUCUGUUUUCUUUUCCAAAACCAGUUUGCAACUUCAAACAUCAUCGUCUCUUUCUUUUCCUGAAGAACCAAAACAUGACAAAACAUUGUUAUCUCCAUGUGGAAGAUUGAUGGUUGAAGUCAAAAGAGCAAUCAGUUUAUGAGGAAGGAAGCUCGACAUGACAUUCCGCAAGUUCCAGGAAUAACAUCGCAGUGGAUGUGUGGAUAAGGGAAGAAGUGAACCGCCAAAAGCCACCGUAUUUGACGUUGUAGACGGUGCUGAAAUUGGAGAAGUUUAAGAUCCGAAAGGUAAAGGGGUUGUCAAAGAUGGACAGUUAGGCGAUGUUGUUGGUGAUGUUCAGAAGGCGAACUUGCAUGGACCCGGAGUUGUUGAAUCAACAAAGGAAGAAAGCUAUGUUAACAAAGUGAAUGUUUUAUCUUCUGGUGGAAACAUUGAGAAAUCGGUUUCUGAGUAAAAGGGAAAUUGGUACGCAUUCAGAAAGAGAAUUUGGUACACAUUCGUUCAAUUGUUGUGGUUAAUUUGUUCGAAAAGGGAAUGCUUAAAGGAUAAAGUAAAUGCAAAAAAAUAAAGACUUCGACUCAAGAAGUAAAAAAGAAUUUAAAGGACUUUGAUGAACUAAAGAUAAAAACUGGUAAUAGAAUUAAAUGGUGGUGAAUGAUACGUACAUUUCUCAGAACUCGUUUCUCGAUAUAUGUUGGUACUUUGAGUAUGAUUGUGUAUUUGUACAAAAUUGAGCACACUAAAAUCUAAUGCUAAGAUUCUAUUUUUUA